rnacentral:rRNA from 1 species
AGCAUAUCAAUAAGCGGAGGAAAAGAAACUAACAAGGAUUCCCCUAGUAACUGCGAGUGAAGCGGGAAAAGCUCAAAUUUAAAAUCUGGCGGUCUCYGACUGUCCGAGUUGUAAUCUAGAGAAGUGUUAUCCGCGCUGGACCGUGUACAAGUCUCCUGGAAUGGAGCGUCAUAGAGGGUGAGAAUCCCGUCUUUGACACGGACUGCCAGGGCUUUGUGAUGCGCUCUCAAAGAGUCGAGUUGUUUGGGAAUGCAGCUCAAAAUGGGUGGUAAAUUCCAUCUAAAGCUAAAUAUUGGCGAGAGACCGAUAGCGAACAAGUACCGUGAGGGAAAGAUGAAAAGAACUUUGGAAAGAGAGUUAAACAGUACGUGAAAUUGCUGAAAGGGAAACGCUUGAAGUCAGUCGCGUUGGCCAGGGAUCAACCUUGCUUUUGCUUGGUGUACUUUCUGGUUGACGGGUCAGCAUCAAUUUUGACUAUUGGAAAAAGGUCAAGGGAAUGUGGCAUCUUCGGAUGUGUUAUAGCCCUUGGUUGCAUACAAUGGUUAGGAUUGAGGAACUCAGCACGCCGCAAGGCCGGGUUUUAACCACGUACGUGCUUAGGAUGCUGGCAAAAUGGCUUUAAUCGACCCGUCUUGAAACACGGACCAAGGAGUCUAACAUGCCUGCGAGUGUUUGGGUGGAAAACCCGAGCGCGUAAUGAAAGUGAAAGUUGAGAUCCCUGUCGUAGGGAGCAUCGACGCCCGGACCAGACCUUUUGUGACGGUUCCGCGGUAGAGCAUGUAUGUUGGGACCCGAAAGAUGGUGAACUAUGCCUGAAUAGGGUGAAGCCAGAGGAAACUCUGGUGGAGGCUCGUAGCGAUUCUGACGUGCAAAUCGAUCGUCAAAUUUGGGUAUAGGGGCGAAAGACUAAUCGAACCAUCUAGUAGCUGGUUCCUGC